rnacentral:rRNA from 1 species
UACAGAGGUCCCAAGCGUUGUUCGGAUUCAUUGGGCGUAAAGGGUGCGUAGGUGGCUUGGUUAGUCGGGUGUGAAAUCCCGGGGCUCAACCCCGGAACUGCACUCGAUACUGCCGUGCUGGAGUACUGGAGAGGAGACUGGAAUUUACGGUGUAGCAGUGAAAUGCGUAGAUAUCGUAAGGAAGACCGGUGGCGAAAGCUAGUCUCUGGACAGUCACUGACACUGAGGCACGAAGGCUAGGGGAGCAAACGGG